rnacentral:rRNA from 1 species
UACGAAGGGGGCUAGCGUUACUCGGAAUUACUGGGCGUAAAGGGCGCGUAGGCGGCGCUCCAAGUUAGGCGUGAAAGUCCUGGGCUCAACCUGGGAACUGCGCUUGAUACUGGAGUGCUUGAGGAUGGAAGAGGGUCGUGGAAUUCCCAGUGUAGAGGUGAAAUUCGUAGAUAUUGGGGAAGAACACCGGUGGCGAAGGCGGCGACCUGGUCCAUUACUGACGCUGAGGCGCGACAGCGUGGGGAGCAAACAGG